GCCAUUGGCCAUACCACAUCGAAUACACCGGUCUUCGUCUUAUCCCGAAGCUUAACAACGUUGGGCCCGGGUGGUACUUCGAAGAAAGACCGCCUGGGAACACUGGGUGUUGAUGCCA
rnacentral:rRNA from 1 species